CCUACGGGUGGCUGCAGUGGGGAAUAUUGCACAAUGGGCGCAAGCCUGAUGCAGCCAUGCCGCGUGUGUGAAGAAGGCCUUCGGGUUGUAAAGCACUUUCAGCGGGGAGGAAGGCGGUGAGAUUAAUAACCUCAUCGAUUGACGUUACCCGCAGAAGAAGCACCGGCUAACUCCGUGCCAGCAGCCGCGGUAAUACGGAGGGUGCAAGCGUUAAUCGGAAUUACUGGGCGUAAAGCGCACGCAGGCGGUCUGUCAAGUCGGAUGUGAAAUCCCCGGGCUCAACCUGGGAACUGCAUUCGAAACUGGCAGGCUAGAGUCUUGUAGAGGGGGGUAGAAUUCCAGGUGUAGCGGUGAAAUGCGUAGAGAUCUGGAGGAAUACCGGUGGCGAAGGCGGCCCCCUGGACAAAGACUGACGCUCAGGUGCGAAAGCGUGGGGAGCAAACAGGAUUAGAUACCCUUGUAGUC
rnacentral:rRNA from 1 species